CUUAAGCAGACUCCAUGCUGAGUGUGGAGCCCAACAGGGGGCUCAAUCCCAUGGCCCUAAGGUCAUGACCUGAGCCGAAACCAAGAGUCAGAUGCUCAACCAACUGAGCCACCCAGGCACCCCAUAGGUAUGCUUUUCUUUUACUUGCACAGAAAGUGUCCUAAAAAUUAAACACAGUUCCGUUACAGAGAAGCACCUGGGAAUUCCUAAGCAUUACUUAACGUAAAUGGUGAAAAAUAGGCAGGAGCUGAUUCUCAUUCUUCCUGGCCUCUUUGCCUUAGUUUAUAUGACCCAGAUAUUGAUAAGGGGAAUGGUCGUGAUAAAAUACAGAUACGUUCUCAAUACAGGAACGUGGUGAGGAAUGCAAAUAUGACCAAAUAAAAUCCUUCAAGCCAGGGUUUCCACUCUGCGUGUCAUGCCUUGUUUGUUAGACCAGUGGGUACUUGGGUGCUGUUACAUUAUUCUUUGCAGAUUUUGUUUAUCUAAAAUAUUUCAUAAGUAAGUAAAAAACACUUUGGGUUUGAACAAUCAUGCUCUGCUAAUGGGAACAGAUUCAAAACCCUGUGAAGUGUUCACGGUAAGUGUUAUCCCUGUUUUACAGAUGAGGGACACUGAGUUACUGAAAGGGUGAGUGAUUUCCUAGGAGGGUCACGAAGUGGGUUAAUGACAGAGCUCAGAGCAGAAUCGUAGGCUUUAACCUCUAUGCUAAACAUCUUCCAGGCUGGUUUAAUGUUCUCAUGAUGGCGGUCGGCAUUAAUGUCCUUUGAUGUAGACGAUCAGAGCUUUCCGCUGCAGACGCCAGGAAUCGCAAGACUGGAUUUUAAGCCAUCUCUACACCCAAUGUGGGGCUCGAAAUUACGACCCCGAGAUUAAGAGUCAUGUGCUUACUGACCGAGCUGGCCAGGCACCCUCUACAACAUUUAAAGGUUGGGUGGGGGAGGCAGCAAACCAAUCUGAGGCAGAGCUUCGAGAGGAAAACCAGAGCGUGUGGCCUCAUGGAAGCCAAUAUAGUGGAAAGGGUUUCAAAGGUGCCCAACUGCGCUGGAUGCUGUUGAGAAGGCCAUCACAUGGGGACACAGUAAGUCAGCAGUCUGUACCAGACCCGACCACUUUGGCACCCUGACCUCGGAUUUCCAGCCUCCAGAAGCGAGUAGUACAUUUCUGCUGUUUCUAAGCCACCACC